GAUGAACGCUGGCGGCGUGCUUAACACAUGCAAGUCGAACGAAGCGGCGAACGGGUGAGUAAUACGUGGGUAACCGGCCCUCCUUUUGGGGAUAAGCCUUGGAAACGGGGUCUAAUACCGAAUAAAGGGGGUUGGGGUCGCGGCAUCUAAGCGUGUUGGUGGGGUACUGGCCUGACAAGGCGGUGACGGGUAGCCGGCCUGAGAGGGUGACCGGCCACUGUGGCACGGACAUACCGCCCAGACGCCUACGCGAGGCAGCAGUGGGGGAUAUUGCACAAAGGGCGAAAGCCUGAUGCCGCGACGCCGCGUGGGGCAUGAAGGCUUUCGGGUUGUAAAACUCUUUCGCAAUCGAUCCGGUAGGUAGAGAAGAAGCGCCGGCUAACUACGUGCCAGCAGCCGCGGUAAUUC
rnacentral:rRNA from 1 species